UAGUGGCAGACGGGUGAGUAAUAUAUAGGAAUCUACCUAGUAGUACGGAAUAAUUGUUGGAAACGGCAACUAAUACCGUAUACGCCCUACGGGGGAAAAAUUUAUUGCUAUUAGAUGAGCCUAUAUUAGAUUAGCUAGUUGGUGGGGUAAUAGCCUACCAAGGCAAUGAUCUAUAGCUGAUCUGAGAGGAUGAUCAGCCACACUGGAACUGAGAUACGGUCCAGACUCCUACGAGAGGCAGCAGUGGGGAAUAUUGGACAAUGGGCGAAAGCCUGAUCCAGCCAUGCCGCAUGAGUGAAGAAGGCCUUUGGGUUGUAAAGCUCUUUUAGUGAGGAAGAUAAUGACGGUACUCACAGAAGAAGUCCUGGCUAACUCCGUGCCAGCAGCCGCGGUAAUACGGAGAGGGCUAGCGUUAUUCGGAAUUAUUGGGCGUAAAGGGCGCGUAGGCUGGUUAGUAAGUUAAAAGUGAAAUCCCGAGGCUUAACCUUGGAACUGCUUUUAAAACUGCUAACCUAGAGAUUGAAAGAGGAUAGAGGAAUUCCUAGUGUAGAGGUGAAAUUCGUAAAUAUUAGGAGGAACACCAGUGGCGAAGGCGUCUAUCUGGUUCAAAUCUGACGCUGAGGCGCGAAGGCGUGGGGAGCAAACAGGAUUAGAUACCCUGGUAGUCCACGCUGUAAACGAUGAAUGUUAAAUAUGGGAAGUUUACUUUCUGUAUUACAGCUAACGCGUUAAACAUUCCGCCUGGGGACUACGGUCGCAAGAUUAAAACUCAAAGGAAUUGACGGGGACCCGCACAAGCGGUGGAGCAUGUGGUUUAAUUCGAUGCAACGCGAAAAACCUUACCACUCCUUG
rnacentral:rRNA from 1 species